UGUACUGGUGGAUAAACGACGAAGGCCCCUAGCUGAACUGGUGUUCACUUCAAAGUCACUGUAAAUUAAUUGACAUUUAUUAGUGAACUCUGUUCAACAAUUUUAUGACAAUUAUAAAUGAAAGUCCCGGACCACUUUCGUCACUAAAGUCUUACCAUGGCAAAAUGCACAGCUACAGUUCAAGAAACCAUGGAGACACUAAAAGAAAAAGUCAAGGCCACGAUCAGACCUCUGCCGCAGCUCUUCCAGGAAGAAGUAAACAGUAU